GAGUUUGAUCCUGGUUCAGAUUGAACGCUAGCGGGAGCCUUACACAUGCAAGUCGAACGGCAGCACGGACUUCGGUCUGGUGGCGAGUGGCGAACGGGUGAGUAAUGUAUCGGAACGUGCCCAGUAGCGGGGGAUAACUACGCGAAAGCGUAGCUAAUACCGCAUACGCUCUACGGGGGAAAGCAGGGGAUCGUAAGACCUUGCACUAUUGGAGCGGCCGAUAUCGGAUUAGCUAGUUGGUGGGGUAACGGCUCACCAAGGCGACGAUCCGUAGCUGGUUUGAGAGGACGACCAGCCACACUGGGACUGAGACACGGCCCAGACUCCUACGGGAGGCAGCAGUGGGGAAUUUUGGACAAUGGGGGAAACCCUGAUCCAGCCAUCCCGCGUGUGCGAUGAAGGCCUUCGGGUUGUAAAGCACUUUUGGCAGGAAAGAAACGUCAUGGGUUAAUACCCCGUGAAACUGACGGUACCUGCAGAAUAAGCACCGGCUAACUACGUGCCAGCAGCCGCGGUAAUACGUAGGGUGCAAGCGUUAAUCGGAAUUACUGGGCGUAAAGCGUGCGCAGGCGGUUCGGAAAGAAAGAUGUGAAAUCCCAGAGCUUAACUUUGGAACUGCAUUUUUAACUACCGGGCUAGAGUGUGUCAGAGGGAGGUGGAAUUCCGCGUGUAGCAGUGAAAUGCGUAGAUAUGCGGAGGAACACCGAUGGCGAAGGCAGCCUCCUGGGAUAACACUGACGCUCAUGCACGAAAGCGUGGGGAGCAAACAGGAUUAGAUAC
rnacentral:rRNA from 1 species